rnacentral:rRNA from 1 species
AGAGUUUGAUCAUGGCUCAGAACGAACGCUGGCGGCAGGCCUCAAACAUGCAAGUCUAGGGGGUGUAGCAAUACAUCACCGGCGGACGGGUGCGUAACGCGUGGGAAUAUACCUAUUGGUUCGGAACAACUGAGGGAAACUUCAGCUAAUACCGAAUGUGCCCUUACGGGGAAAGAUUUAUCGCCAAUGGAUUAGCCCGCGUCCGAUUAGCUAGUUGGUGGGGUAAUGGCCCACCAAGGCUCCGAUCGGUAGCUGUUCUGAGAGGAAGAUCAGCCACACUGGGACUGAGACACGGCCCAGACUCCUACGGGAGGCAGCAGUUGGGAAUCUUGGACAAUGGGGGAAACCCUGAUCCAGCCAUGCCGCGUGAGUGAUGAAGGCCUUCGGGUUGUAAAACUCUUUCGACGGGGACGAUAAUGACGGUACCCGUAGAAGAAGCUCCGGCUAACUUCGUGCCAGCAGCCGCGGUAAUACGAAGGGGGCUAGCGUUGUUCGGAAUUACUGGGCGUAAAGCGCGCGCAGGCGGUCUUUCAAGUCAGUGGUGAAAGCCCGGAGCUCAACUCCGGAAAUGCCAUUGAAACUGUAAGACUUGAGGAUGAGAGAGGUGAGUGGAAUUCCCAGUGUAGAGGUGAAAUUCGUAGAUAUUGGGAAGAACACCGGUGGCGAAGGCGGCUCACUGGCUCAUUUCUGACGCUCAGGCGCGACAGCGUGGGGAUCAAACAGGAUUAGAUACCCUAGUAGUCC